GAUGAACGCUGGCGGCGUGCUUAACACAUGCAAGUCGAACGAAGAUGCCGGAGUGCUUGCACUUUGGCAGACUGAGUGGCGGACGGGUGAGUAACGCGUGGGUAACCUGCCUUAUACAGGGGGAUAACAGUUGGAAACGACUGCUAAUACCGCAUAAGCGCACGGUAUCGCAUGAUACAGUGUGAAAAACUCCGGUGGUAUAAGAUGGACCCGCGUCUGAUUAGCUUGUUGGUGAGGUAACGGCCCACCAAGGCGACGAUCAGUAGCCGGCCUGAGAGGGUGAACGGCCACAUUGGGACUGAGACACGGCCCAAACUCCUACGGGAGGCAGCAGUGGGGAAUAUUGCACAAUGGGGGAAACCCUGAUGCAGCGACGCCGCGUGAGCGAAGAAGUAUUUCGGUAUGUAAAGCUCUAUCAGCAGGGAAGAAAAUGACGGUACCUGACUAAGAAGCCCCGGCUAACUACGUG
rnacentral:rRNA from 1 species